rnacentral:snRNA from 1 species
AAGAGAGCACAAAAGUAUC